GCUGUGCGGGUCUGUUCACCUCUAUCAGUUUUAUUUAAAGCAAUCCGAGCCAAACCCGCCCCCGGGGCUCUCGGGGCGGGGGGUGCGGGUCUCAGCCCGCCCCGUUCCCGCCCGCCUCCGCCAUGGGAGCCGCGGGGCUGCUCUGCGCCCUUCUCCUGCUGCUGGGCACCGGCACCGGGAGCGGCACCGGGACCCCCGCCCCGCGGGUGCUGCUCGCCCUCCUCGCCCGGAACGCCGAGCACUCCCUGCCGCACUGCCUGGGAGCCCUGGAGCGCAUGGAUUAUCCCGCGGGGAGCAUCGCGCUGUGGUGUGCGACGGACCAUAACUCUGACAAUACGACAGCGAUGCUGCGAGAGUGGCUGGAGGCAGUGGGGAAGGAUUAUCACUCGGUGGCCUGGAAGGUGCAGGAGGAGCCCAGCUCCUACCCCGAUGAGCUCAGCCCCAAGCACUGGAGCGACAAACGCUACGAAAACCUGAUGAAGCUGAAGCAGGAGGCUCUCACCUAUGCCCGGGAGCAGCGGGCGGACUACAUCCUGUUUGUGGACACCGACAGCAUCCUGACCAACAACCAGACCCUCAAGUUUCUCAUGGCACAGAACAAGUCAGUGGUGGCCCCCAUGCUGGACUCGCAGACCUUCUACUCCAACUUCUGGUGUGGUAUCACGCCCCAGGGAUACUACCGCCGGACAGCCGACUACUUCCCCACCAAGAACCGGCAGCGGGUAGGCUGCUUCGCCGUCCCCAUGGUCUAUGCCACCUUCCUGAUCGACCUGCGGAAGGAAGAGACGUCGCAGUUGGCUUUCUACCCGCCCCAUCCCAACUACACCUGGGCCUUCGAUGAUAUCAUUGUCUUCGCCUACUCCUGCCAGGCAGCUGUGCUUACUUACCCGGCAGGCGCGGAGGUCCACGUGUGCAACCAGCAGCGCUUUGGUUACAUCAAUGUCCCUGUGAAGGCCCACCAGACGCUGGAGGACGAACGUGCCAACUUUGUGCAUCUCACGCUGGAGGCCAUGGUGGAUGGCCCCCCCAUGCAGCGCUCCAGGCACAUUUCCCUCCUCCCCAAGCCACUCACAAAAAUGGGGUUUGAUGAAAUCUUCCUCAUCAACCUGGUGCGGAGGCCGGACCGGCGCCAGCGAAUGCUGGCAUCCCUGCAGGAGCUGGAGAUCGCCCCACGGGUGGUGGAUGCUGUGGACGGGAGCACCCUCAACAGCAGCGACAUCAAGGUGCUGGGGGUGGAUCUGCUCCCUGGGUACUACGACCCCUUCUCCGGACGCACCCUCACCAAGGGAGAGGUUGGCUGCUUCCUCAGCCACUACAACAUCUGGAAGGAGAUCGUGUCACGGGGGCUGGAGCGGUCGGUGGUCUUCGAGGAUGAUGUGCGCUUUGAGGCUGCCUUCCCAGCACGGCUGCAGCGGCUGAUGGAGGAGCUGGAGAGAGUGCAGCAGGACUGGGACCUCAUCUACCUGGGGAGGAAGCAAGUGAAUGCAGAGGACGAGGAGCCCGUGGAGGGUGUGCGAAACCUGGUGGUGGCUGGGUACUCGUACUGGACACUGGCCUACGCCAUCUCCCACCGUGGGGCACAGAAGCUCCUGGCUGCCCAGCCCCUCUCCAAAAUGCUACCAGUGGAUGAGUUCCUGCCCAUCAUGUAUGACAAGCACCCCAACGAGGACUACAAGCGGCACUUCACCCCACGGGACCUGCUGGUGUUUUCAGCUCACCCCCUCCUGGUUUAUCCCACCCACUAUGCUGGAGACAGCAACUGGCUGAGUGACACCGAGACCUCCACCAUCUGGGAUGACGAUUCCAAGAAGACCGAUUGGGCUGGUUCACAGAAGACCCUGAGAGACUCACGGGGUGGCACUGGCUACCUCCGCUCUGCUGCCCACGAUGAGCUCUGAAGACUGAAAGCAUCAGGAAAUGGAGAGGAGACCUCUUCUAGGGAAGAAAAGAGGUUGGGAUGUAGGUGUCCCAUGUGGGCAACCAGGUCCUGCUGCUCCCCAGCCCCUCAGGGACGAGGGAUUGUGACCCAUCUGGGAGCACCACGGGCCAGCGGCCUGAUCCUGCCCACUCCUGCUUGAGAGACGCAGCCACCAGGCUGGAUCUCCCAGGGUCCUUCAAAUCAGUGUGUGGUGAAUCCACCCAAGGCAGGAUUUGUACUCGGGGCUCCUGGAGAGCCCCUUCUCUGCUAGGCAGAGGGACUGGGGGAGCGCUGUGCUCUGUCUCUGCUGAGGACACGUGUUCGGGACUGUCCUGAGUGAUGCCAACUCUGCCAUCUCCCACUCGUUUGGACUUUGGAAAGUGUUUUUCAGGCUGGGGGCUGGCUCCUGUGAUGACACAUGUGGCCUUGUGCCACCGACCAGGCUUGUCGUUUGCCGGUGCUCUGUCUGGGCUGACGCCCAGGUAGGAUUAAAGCAGACUGUGAGCUGAUGUGCUGGGUGCUGGCUCUGCCGGGCAGCAUUGCCCCAUGGAACAUCCACAGGGUGUACCUGCCAGGGUCACCUCCGAGCUGCAGAGAUGAGGGUCUGGCAGUUCCCCUGGCCAGAGAUUGCUUUUGGGAAUGA